rnacentral:rRNA from 1 species
GAUGAACGCUAGCGGCAGGCUUAAUACAUGCAAGUCGAGGGGGAUUAUUUUUGUAGCAAUACAGAGAUAUGAGACCGGCAAACGGGUGCGGAACACGUACGCAACCUUCCCAAAACUGGUGAAUAGCCCUCCGAAAGGAGGAUUAAUACACCGUAACAUAAUGAAGUGGCAUCACUUUAUUAUUAUAGCUCCGGCGGUUUUGGAUGGGCGUGCGCCUGAUUAGGUAGUUGGCGGGGUAACGGCCCACCAAGCCUGCGAUCAGUAACUGGUGUGAGAGCACGACCAGUCACACGGGCACUGAGACACGGGCCCGACUCCUACGGGAGGCAGCAGUAAGGAAUAUUGGUCAAUGGACGAAAGUCUGAACCAGCCAUGCCGCGUGAAGGAUGAAGGCCCUCUGGGUUGUAAACUUCUUUUAUCUGGGACGAAAAAAGACGGUUCUUCGUCACUUGACGGUACCAGAGGAAUAAGCACCGGCUAACUCCGUGCCAGCCGCCGCCGUAAUAC